UCAGCCGCCGCGGUAAAGCCAACACCUCGAGUGGUCAGGAGGUUUAUUGGGCCUAAAGCAUCCGUAGCCGGUUGCAUAAGUUUUCGGUUAAAUCUAUGCGCUUAACGUAUAGGCCGCCGAAAAUACUGUGCAGCUAGGGAGUGGGAGAGGUACACGGUACUCGAUAGGAGGGGGUAAAAUCCUUUGAUCUAUUGAUGACCACCUGUGGCGAAGGCGGAGUACCAGAACACGUUCGACGGUGAGGGAUGAAAGCUGGGGGGGCAAACCGGAUUAGAUACCCGGGUAGUCCCAGCUGUAAACGAUGCAGACUCGGUGAUGCAUUGGCUUGUGGCCAAUGCAGUGCCGCAGGGAAGCCGUUAAGUCUGCCGCCUGGGAAGUACGUACGCAAGUAUGAAACUUAAAGGAAUUGGCGGGGGAGCACA
rnacentral:rRNA from 1 species